CCUACGGGAGGCAGCAGUGGGGAAUAUUGCACAAUGGGCGAAAGCCUGAUGCAGCAACGCCGCGUGAGUGAUGAAGGCCUUCGGGGCGUAAAACUCUGUCCUCAAGGAAGAUAAUGACGGUACUUGAGGAGGAAGCCCCGGCUAACUACGUGCCAGCAGCCGCGGUAAUACGUAGGGGGCUAGCGUUAUCCGGAUUUACUGGGCGUAAAGGGU
rnacentral:rRNA from 1 species